rnacentral:rRNA from 1 species
AUUGAACGCAGGCGGCAGGCUUAACACAUGCAAGUCGAGCGGAGAUGAGGUGCUUGCACCUUAUCUUAGCGGCGGACGGGUGAGUAAUGCUUAGGAAUCUGCCUAUUAGUGGGGGACAACAUUCCGAAAGGAAUGCUAAUACCGCAUACGUCCUACGGGAGAAAGCAGGGGAUCUUCGGACCUUGCGCUAAUAGAUGAGCCUAAGUCGGAUUAGCUAGUUGGUGGGGUAAAGGCCUACCAAGGCGACGAUCUGUAGCGGGUCUGAGAGGAUGAUCCGCCACGCUGGGACUGAGACACGGCCCAGACUCCUACGGGAGGCAGCAGUGGGGAAUAUUGGACAAUGGGGGGAACCCUGAUCCAGCCAUGCCGCGUGUGUGAAGAAGGCCUUAUGGUUGUAAAGCACUUUAAGCGAGGAGGAGGCUACUGAGACUAAUACUCUUGGGUAGUGGACGUUACUCGCAGAAUAAGCACCGGCUAACUCUGUGCCAGCCGCCGCAGUAA